UUUUUUUUUUUUUUUGGCUUGUCAUUGGUGCCCUAUCUGGGAUGGACAGACAUUUGUUUACAUCUCACCAGGGAAGGUCACACUUCAAACACAAUUCCAUAAUUUGUGCUAUUCCACUCACUCACCUGAUAUUCAGAAGAACUACAGUGUAGCCUGUGUGAGUCAAUCAGCAACCAUUUAUGAAGAACCUGUUACAUUCAAAGUGUACAGAAGUCAUAUUGUGUUAGGAGAGACAGCAUGGCCAUUUGAGGGCUGCAUAAAAUCAUGAGCCCAGGGACAUUCAACAGUUUCCUAUCUCAAUUUUUGUCAUUUAGUGUGGCUGCUUAAUGACCAGGUAGAGCUAGAACUUACUUCUCUGUUGGCUCAGUGCUGCUUCUACCACACUGUCUCUUCCUCCAAACACAGCAAAGUCCUUACAUAAUAUUACAGAAUAGCAUUACAGGCCAUUUAUUCCUACAAGAUUAUUACAUCCCGAAUAUGGCUCUCAUUGACCCUGAAGAGCAGAUUGAGUGCAUCUUCUGACUCCAAGUUAUAAAAUUGGCCAGGGUAUAUUUCCCACUAUAGAUAUCAGCAGAGGCUCUUAUUAAACAUUUAUUACUAUACGAUGGCUAAUAAAUAAUAAAUGGCCAAAGUUCAACUCUCCCUUCAUGAAGCCUAGGUUUUAUAGAGAAAUGAGACUUUGCCAGGCAGAGAAGAACUACACAGGCUAUUUGAGAAUAUACUUGGAAAAUGGUGUUCUUGGAUUCAAAACGGAAUAAGGUGGCUGGGUGGGGGAAAUCACGUGCCUACACUGGCCAGGAUGAAUAAACAAGAGCAAAAUUUUGGGUGGUCUUAUGAAUGCUAGGGCAUAAUGGAAUCUGUGAAAAAUGGAAAGGAAGUCCUUCCUAAGGCUAUUUAUUACAAGAGCUUCUCUUUUCUAAAACCACUUUGGCUUUUCCAUAGAGAAUUACUGUGUGUCCCUAGAAAUCAGAAUCAAGUAAGCUAUGGUAAAGGGCUACCACUUUCCUUUGCAAUAACUAGUGUAUAUUAUAUAGUAUAUCUACAGUAUAUAUUAUAUAAUAUAUAUUACAUAUACAUUACUAGUAUAUAUUACUAGUUAGCUCAGUAUAAUGAAAACAAAAUUUAACUUUCAAUUUUAUAUGCUCCUCUGUUCUUUCCAUAAUCUCUGUAAAAUGUCUAUGAAUUUUUGUUAUUAUUGUGUGUGCCUAAAAGUUAUCCAGUAAACAUUUUUCUUGUUAUUGACAGUGAGUUAUAUUGAUGUUUAUAGUACUAUUAGUAGUCUGAUAGCUUCUUUUAACAAUAAUGAGAUAUUCAAAAAUAGUUAGAUAUAUUUCAAAAGUUGCUCACUCAGAUUCCAUGUAUCUGAAAAUUAAUUCACUUCAGAAAAGUGUAAAGAUUAUGAAGCCUAUUAUGUCUGAAAGACAUUGUUUUUUUGAAGUGAUCCACCACCUUUGGCUCUUACACUCUUUCUACCUACUCUUCUGCAUAAAUUUCUGACCCCUUGAUGUGUGUGUGUUUGUGUGUGUGUGUGUUGAUAAAGAUUUUUUACUUAGGUUUGAGUACUUGGAGUCUCACAUUCUUUUAACACUGUCCAGUUGUGGGUUUCUGCAUUAAUUACCUUAUCCUGCAAGAAGAAGUUUCUCUGAUGAGAGUUUAGUGAUGCGUUGAUCUAUGUGGUAUAACAGUAUGCCAUUAAGGGUCAUUUUAUCUCUAUGUUACUUUAGCAGGAUAGUAGUAAUAGCUUUUGUCAUAAGGUUUUUGUUCUAUCUAGUCUGACAUUUUUGACCACUUUAGAGUGGUAUGGGUUCCAUUUCAUAGAGCAGGCCUUAAAUCUAAAAAAACAAAAAAACCCC
rnacentral:lncRNA from 1 species